CCUACGGGCCGCACCAGUGGGGAAUUUUGGACAAUGGGCGAAAGCCUGAUCCAGCAAUGCCGCGUGUGUGAAGAAGGUCUUCGGAUUGUAAAGCACUUUCGACGGGGACGAUGAUGACGGUACCCGUAGAAGAAGCCCCGGCUAACUUCGUGCCAGCGGCCGCGGUAAUACGAAGGGGGCUAGCGUUGUUCGGAAUUACUGGGCGUAAAGCGCGCGUAGGCGGAUAGAUAAGUCAGAGGUGAAAUCCCGGGGCUCAACUCCGGAAUUGCCUUUGAUACUGUUUAUCUUGAGUGCAGAAGAGGUAAGUGGAAUUCCGAGUGUAGAGGUGAAAUUCGUAGAUAUUCGGAGGAACACCAGUGGCGAAGGCGGCUCACUGGUCUGCAACUGACGCUGAGGCGCGAAAGCGUGGGGAGCAAACAGGAUUAGAUACCCUAGUAGUC
rnacentral:rRNA from 1 species